CAGUAGCCGCGGGAAUACGUAGGUGGCAAGCGUUGCCCGGAAUUAUUGGGCGUAAAGGGCUCGCAGGCGGUUUCUUAAGUCUGAUGUGAAAGCCCCCGGCUCAACCGGGGAGGGUCAUUGGAAACUGGGAAACUUGAGUGCAGAAGAGGAGAGUGGAAUUCCACGUGUGGCGGUGAAAUGCGUAGAGAUGUGGAGGAACACCAGUGGCGAAGGCGACUCUCUGGUCUGUAACUGACGCUGAGGAGCGAAAGCGUGGGGAGCGAGCAGGAUUAGAUACCCGGGUAGUCCCUGUCUCUUAUAC
rnacentral:rRNA from 1 species